GAUGAACGCUGGCGGCGUGCCUAAUACAUGCAAGUCGAGCGAACAGACGAGGAGCUUGCUCCUCUGACGUUAGCGGCGGACGGGUGAGUAACACGUGGAUAACCUACCUAUAAGACUGGGAUAACUUCGGGAAACCGGAGCUAAUACCGGAUAAUAUAUUGAACCGCAUGGUUCAAUAGUGAAAUACGGUGUUGCUGUCACUUAUAGAUGGAUCCGCGCCGCAUUAGCUAGUUGGUAAGGUAACAGCUUACCAAGGCAACGAUGCGUAGCCGACCUGAGAGGGUGAUCGGCCACACUGGAACUGAGACACGGUCCAGACUCCUACGGGAGGCAGCAGUAGGGAAUCUUCCGCAAUGGGCGAAAGCCUGACGGAGCAACGCCGCGUGAGUGAUGAAGGUCUUCGGAUCGUAAAACUCUGUUAUUAGGGAAGAACAAAUGUGUAAGUAACUAUGCACGUCUUGACGGUACCUAAUCAGAAAGCCACGGCUAACUACGUG
rnacentral:rRNA from 1 species